UUUAACAAUAUUAAAAACGGCGGGCAAUAUGUACAUAUUAAUAAAAAAAAUUCAACUUAAAUAUUUAUUAAAAUUUUAAUUUUAAAUCCAAUUUCAAAUUAUUAAAUUUAAAAUAAUUAUUCAAAAAUUUUUUUAAAAUAGUAUUUCAUUAAAACUUUAAUUAUAAAAUAUAUUAUGAUUUGAAUUUCAUUUUAUAAUAAAUUUAAAUAAUUCUAUUCCUAUAAUUAUUUUAUACAACAAUAUAUAAUUUAAUAAAUUAAAUAUUUUUUAUUGGGUAUUAUCAAAUUAAUAAACAAAAUCCUCUAAUUUUUAAUAAUACUGCCAAAUAAAUUAACUUUAAACUAAUAAUUAAUAAUUAAAAUAACUUUAUUAAAUAAUA
rnacentral:rRNA from 1 species